rnacentral:tRNA from 1 species
UCCCUCGUAGCUCAACGGCAGAGCGGCCGGUUGUUAACCGGUCGAUACGGGUUCGACUCCUGUCGAGGGAG